CAGGUGGGGAAUUUUCCGCAAUGGGCGAAAGCCUGACGGAGCAAUGCCGCGUGGAGGUGGAAGGCCUACGGGUCGUCAACUUCUUUUCUCGGAGAAGAAACAAUGACGGUAUCUGAGGAAUAAGCAUCGGCUAACUCUGUGCCAG
rnacentral:rRNA from 1 species